GAGUUGAUCAUGGCUCAGGAUGAACGCUAGCGAUAGGCCUAACACAUGCAAGUCGAGGGGCAGCACAGUGAGUAGCAAUACGAUGGUGGCGACCGGCGCACGGGUGAGUAACACGUAUGCAACCUACUUUAACAGGGGAAUAACCCGUUGAAAAACGGACUAAUACUACCAUAACACAGGGGUCCCGCAUGGGAAUAUUUGUUAAAGAUUAAUCGGUUGAAGAUGGGCAUGCGUUCCAUUAGCUUGUCGGUGAGGUAACGGCUCACCAAGGCCACGAUGGAUAGGGGAACUGAGAGGGUUUAUCCCCCACACUGGAACUGAGACACGGUCCAGACUCCUACGGGAGGCAGCAGUGAGGAAUAUUGGUCAAUGGAGGCAACUCUGAACCAGCCAAGUCGCGUGAAAAGGAUGAAGGUCUUAUGGAUUGUAAACUUCUUUUGCAAGGGAAUAAAGUGGGGGACGUGUCCUCCUUUGCAUGUACCUUGCGAAUAAGGAUCGGCUAACUCCGUGCCAGCAGCCGC
rnacentral:rRNA from 1 species